GCCAUUCCAGAGGCAAAAUCAUGUGUCUUGAGAGCCAAAUAAUUCACAUCUACAGCUGUGACACAUAUAUGACUUUGAGUGUGGGACUUGAAUCAUGUUUAGUCCUCAUUAACAAUCAUUUUACUUACUUUUUCUAUUUUUAGAAGAUAUAUCACUUAAGUAUCUUUAAUUGCAAUCAUUAAUGAAUACUUUAAGCAAUUUUAGUUUUUUAUUCCUCAC
rnacentral:lncRNA from 1 species